rnacentral:lncRNA from 1 species
GUCAGAAUCAAGUCGAUCCAUCCAACAAACAAGAAAGCAUUGAAUCUCUCUAUCAUUGGUCAACACAAUCUGUUCGUCUAAAAUAACAUCAAUUUUAUUUUUGUGUGCCAUAAUAGGUGGGAUUGAAGUAGACAUAGCAAAAGAUUCAAUGUGGGAAUUCUCAUGUGGAGGUAGAAACGGGUCAUCAGAGGGGUUAAAAUAGCCUUUGCAAGCAUCGAAGUCCGUAACAAAUAAAAUAGGGUGGUGGUCAUAAUGUGAUAAAAGGUCAUUGACAUAUGCAUUUAGACCAACAUGCUUUGAAAUUUUAAAAGGACCAGCAUUAUGAGCUUACAAUAUAACAUAAUCCCCAAUAUCAAAUUCAAAAUGUUGUUUAUGCCAAUUAGCUCGAGGUUUAUAUAAUGUGUUACUUGCUUCAAAUUGUUUAUUGAUCUCAAUAUGCAAGUUAUGAAAAUGUGAUACAACUACCUCAACUGACAUAAACACACUAGCAUGUGGGUACAUAGGAAUAAGGUCUAAAGGUUUCCUAGGUUCACAAUCAUGAAUAACUUCAAAGGGAUUUAGACCUAAAGACCAGUUCACAGGAUUGUUAUAUGUAAUUUGAAAAAUUGGAGGGAUUAAGUCCAAAUUCUCAAGAUUUUUUUGAGACUGUAAUAAAUUGCCAGGACUUUGGUUAGCAAUUUCAUUUUGACCAUCAGUUUGAGGUUGGUCAGUAGUGGAGAAUUUUG